CUUGAAUAAACAUAAGAGGUCCAGCCUGCCCAGUGACCAUGUUCAACGGCCGCGGUAUCCUAACCGUGCGAAGGUAGCGUAAUCACUUGUUCUUUAAAUAAGGACUAGUAUGAACGGCAUCACGAAGGUUACACUGUCUCCUCUUUCUAAUCAGUGAAACUAAUCUCCUCGUGAAGAAACGAGGAUAAACAUAUAAGACGAGAAGACCCUAUGGAGCUUCAAACUACAAAGCACCUGCCCCAGUAUUACUUAAUUCCAGAAAACCACAUCUACCCAGGCAAGAUGACCUUUAGUUUUAGGUUGGGGUGACCGCGGAGCAAAAAAAAACCUCCACAUUGAAAGGAGCCCACUCCUUAGCCAAGAGCCACACCUCUAAGCACCAACAAAAAGACAUCAAUUGACCCAAUAUUUUUGAUCAACGAAC
rnacentral:rRNA from 1 species